UAACAAGUGCCCCAUCCCGUGCUCCAAACUUGAUAUUGGGGUUGAUAGCUUAAGUUCAGAAGCAAGUCCAGGUAUUGACCGUGUUAGACAUCCAGCAAGUGUUUGCUUGAUUUCAGAAGAUCGGCCAUCAGCAGAGACAAUUUUCCUUGGAUACUCCUUCCCAUCAAUAUAUAGAAAUUCCUCAUGAAACUUAUCAUCUUUUCCAUAAAUGUAGGCUAGGGAAGAUGAUGUUAUCCAUGCAAAGAUUGCCAUCCACAUGGUUGCAAAAGAAGAUAAAGUAAGGCUGAAACCCUCUGGUGGCGCAUCAUACCAAGAGUCACUGGGAUCAAACAGAUCAGAACGUAAUUCCCCAAGUCUG
rnacentral:misc_RNA from 1 species